CAAUCUCUCAAUUUUCUCUACAAUCCAAUCUUUUCCCACUCUCUCAUCUCUGUGCUGCCAUCUCACUGUUUCAGCUUUUCCAUACUCAGACUCUGGAAGGAUCAGCCAACAGGACCCUCCGCAGUUCCUCCCUCAGCCUCCAUCCUCUUAGGUCAAACUGAAAAUUUUGCUAUCUUGCCAAUUUCUUGACUCCACCAAGUGAAUUCUUGACAAAUAGAUAAAAGUGCAGGCGAAGGUACACCCUUCCUAGACAUGCGUUGAAGGGGUUUCCAGGACGUUUUCCAGCAGUAGUAGUUACAUGUUUCUUUAGUAGAUGCUUAGGGUGUUUUGUAACCCUUUAGUAGUGUAUGGGCUGUAUAUGUUGAUCAGCGUAUGUAUGGUUAUUGUUGAGGAUGACUAUAUUAUAUAUU